rnacentral:miRNA from 1 species
CGGUGCAUCUCUGCAGCCCGCA